GGAUUAGAUACCCUGGUAGUCCAUGCCGUAAACGAUGUGUGUUAGACGUUGGAAAUUUAUUUUCAGUGUCGCAGCGAAAGCAGUAAACACACCGCCUGGGGAGUACGACCGCAAGGUUAAAACUCAAAUGAAUUGACGGGGACCCGCACAAGUAGUGGAGCAUGUGGUUUAAUUCGAAGAUACGCGCAGAACCUUACCAACACUUGACAUGUUCGUCGCGGCUCUAAGAGAUUAGAGCUUUCGGUUCGGCCGGACGAAACACAGGUGCUGCAUGGCUGUCGUCAGCUCGUGCCG
rnacentral:rRNA from 1 species